rnacentral:lncRNA from 1 species
CUAAUCCUUUUUAUAAGAAACACUUGACAAAGGUUCAUUAAUUAAUUGGUGUAUCUGGUCACCAGACCUCAUCAGACCCGAUACACCAAUUAUUCAAUAUAUCUAAAAAGUGUGAUGCACAAACAUUAAAGCAUGAGCUACUUUGGAAACUAGAAAGCAAGUAAGCACAAACAAUGUUGACAAUGAUGCAACAAACAAAUGAUUCAAUGACUUGGUUCUUCAUCUUUUUUCUCCCCCUUUUAGUGGACACAUUUUACAUAAAUUCCUAUCAAAAUGUAACAAUGCCUUUUUCUUGUUUGUGUUUUCCAUCUUUGUUCAUUGUAAUCAUAUAGUAUAAUAAUAAAAUAAAUAUUAAAUAUAUUAAACAAGCCCUCUCAACUUAACAAAAGUAAUCAAUUUUCCU